GUGAUGUUGGGUGGGGGGGGGACACACCAUGAUACACAGGAUGAUGUGUGUCCAUCAUACAUCCACAAUGGAAGACUCCCAUCACGUGUCACAUGUCAAGGCAACUGUUCUCGAAGGGAAACCGAUCAUGGAAAUGGAUGGAGGGCCCUGAGGAAAUUUCAUAUCUGAUGUGCCAUUCAUCAGUCCAGUGCAGAAGUCAUAAAUUAUGCUUCCUAUUACCGGAUCGGUGUAUCCCAGUUACAAUCCCCCCUUUUUUUCCUCCCUUCUCUCUGUUCCUGCUAUCAAGUUUAUC
ensembl:lncRNA